CCCAGCAGCCAAACCAACCCUAGCCCCCUUUCUCCUUUCCCUCGAUCCCCACGAGCCGCUGUGCCCCUCCCUCUCCCUUCCGUGCGUGCGCUCGGCCAAGGACGCUGUCGUCGCCCUCGGCUGCUCCUCCAGGACCUCGCCUCUUUAUCCUCCUCGCCUUCCCAUCGCUCACGUGCAGGUUGCCGUUGUCGGAGAACAGGACAGUGCGGGUCGCUUCCUCCUUUUCCUCCCAUCAGAUCUAAAGCGUGCGGUCACGGAGGCGAGCCUCUCCUACAGGGGAGAGAAGAUGGGAGAGAGGGGGAGAAGGAAGGAGAGGAGGGAGGCCCAGCGGCGAACUAGAGAGGGCCGGCUAGCGCCGGCCAGGUCAGGUGCGACCUGGUGGUUGGUGGCGGCUCGAUCCACUACUGGAUCCUUUUUCUUCCACCUCCCCACUAUCUAACACCGAGCACCGGUCAAGGAGCAUGGGAUCGACAACGGCGGCUAGAAGCCAAGAAGGAGGAUGAGGGGAUUGAAGAGGGUCUUCUUGUGUUCAUUGCGUGACCAAGGAAGAGGACGAUGACGCAGGGUGGAACAUGUCAUCCCUCUGGUUUUGGCCUUCCUUUCUGCUGCUGGGCUAAGAUGAGGGUUUCCACUGAUUGUGGUGGCAUGAGGCAGAGAUCGACAGCCAGAUGCUUGUGGCUGCCACACAAAACAUGCUCUCUUGCUGACCUUGAGGUCCAGCCGCAAUGGACCAUCUCCAAGGUAUCUAGCCUGAUGUUCCUCCUGUUUCAGAUCAUAUGUGUUGGUCUGAUGUAUGUGUAAGAGAACCAAAUUCGAAUUGGGGAAGGGAGCUUUCAGACCAAUCUAAUUGUCAUUCCUUAUGUAGAUUCUUGUUUUUUCUCUUCUCAUAUUUUAGGCUGGGUGUAUAAGCACUAAGCUGGGUGUAUUAGCAAUGAUGGUGAGUUAAUAAUGCCUUUCAUUUUGUUUUUUCAAUGUGGAUCAUUGGAGCUAUCAUGAAGAUAUAAAGCAAGCUGCUGGUUUCGGCAACUUGACAUUUUUGUACUGAUUAGUGAACUAGCAAGGUAUAAUGGUAAUUCUUCUACAUCCAGAUGAAUGGGAUGGAUAGUAGUUCUGCUAUGCAGAAUGGUAGUGUUUCCUACACGAUCCUUUGUUUGUCAUGUAUACCAUCACUGAGUAUUGUAGAGGCUGUAGUAAUCUUACACUUUAUAUGGAUGGUGUGCAAGUUAAAGGUCUACAAAAUAAUGUGCUAAGCUCUUAUUUGUGGGCCAGGUUAAAGAUCCCAUGUUAGUUUGCUUGGUUUAAGUUUAGAAGCAACGAUACAAUGUUGUUUAAGUCAAGUUUUUAACUUUAUAUAUAUUUUGAUUACUGCUUCAUUAUUUAUCAACUGAGGCAUGGUUGUUGUGUGCACUUCUUACUGAUGAUGAUCCUGGUGUUGUUUUUGUUCAGUUAUAAUGGGAUGAAGUAACUUAAUUGACUAAUAGUGUUGUUAGUAGUGAUAGACAAUAGGAAAUUUACUGGAUCAGUUCAAGCAAAAAUACUUCCAGAAUCCAUCUUGUGAUCUAUUGGUAACAACACCAAGUUUGCCUGUUUGUUCAACCAAACAAAGUGUAUAAUACGCUUCAUUUUGCAGGUAUAGAAGAAGGACCUUUGCUUAAUGGUUGAUUUUCUUUUGCUCACGGCAGCUUGCUCAAGGAAAACAUGUAAGCCCAACGUGCACUGAUGGCGCUGCCAGCAGCAUCAAGGAUGGAAUCAGCAAGACACUCUUUUAGGUCAGAAAAAUUGGCGGUCCAAUGAUUAAACCUGAAUCUUCGUGGCUGCUACAGCCACCAUCCUGUUGUAGCUCAUCCAGACCAUGACUAUCAAUAGGUGACCAUCUUCAUUGAGGUACAGAAAACAAUCCAUGCAUUGCCAUGCUUAUCUUCUCUGAACUUUACAUCAUUCAAUCCCACUGAUUGACAAGACUUAGAUAUCAUGAGGAUGAUGAUGGAGGAUAGCAAUGUCUCCAUCAGCUGCUACCAUAGAAGGUGGAGACAAGUGGUGAGUGACAAUAUUGUAGCUAUCAAUGAAGAUCGUGGUUGCUUGCCCCCCCCCUACAAAGAUUAAGGUCCCUUGGAGGAUACAAAUGAUAGGUCCUUCGUCACUCGUGCUAAUGUUCAGGAAGAACCUGAGCCUGACAUGGCACCUGAACAUGUGCUAGGUUUGCUUACCCGCCUUUGAACUCUCUGAGUGUCAAAAGUACUAAAGUGGGUACUUCCUAAUGGCAAUAUUCUCUUCUUUGCUGGUGAGGGUAGGUUCUAGCUCAUCAGUUCUAGCUUCUUGUUGUUUCAUUGUAUUCAGUUAUGAUAUAUUUUUCAACUAUACAAGCACUCGGGGGAAGUCAGGAAAACUGAACCAAAGACAAACACUUUUACUGGCGAUGUUCGGGCUUUUUUAACUGAGAUGUGAAAGAUGCAUCUUAUCCCCUGAGAAAUAUUGCCUUUAAUUUCUUGAUUUUUUCCUGACAUGCUAAUUUAGAGCCAGAUAUUCAUGAUUCAUCAUACACAUUACAAUCAAUUAUCCAUUGGAAUCUUUUGUCCAUAGAGGUGAUUUUGUUUGGACCAUUAGUCUAGGUAGUGACAUUUUGAUCGAUCAGGCACAAGUUUAUUUUAUUUUUCACUCAGGGCUACACUAAAGUAAGCAUCACCAUCAGUGAAAAGAAGGCAUACAAAUCAUGAGGUUUUUGCCUUGUUUUUGUGCAUCAUUUAGUUGUCACUUAUUUGUUUCAAGGAAGUUAUUCAAUUCUCAUCGAGCUUUUCUUAUUCUUUCCAUUGGUAAAGGAGAAAUUUAAUAUGCAAUAUUUUUAAUAUUCGAGGAGGCCAGAGGAGAAGAAAAGGGGCUGUCAGGUCGGACUUUGGUGCGUCUCUGACCAAAGAUGGUUGGAUCCAUCCGACGUUCUUCCAAAUAGUACAGUGCAGAUUUGCUGACUGGUACAACAUCUAAACCUUGGCUACUCUAGCUUAUUUUUACAUCUCUUAGUAUCAACAAAUAACUUGGCUAUAUUAUAUACUUGAAGAUUGCAGCAGGCACAAAAUGCUUGGCUGACCACCCAGUUAAUUGAGUUGUGCCUACGAAGGGUCAGUAGAGUAGUUGCUUUUUCUAAAAAAAUGAGGAUCGGUUUGGUUGCCACAUGACGGUAAGGCUAGAAUGGUGGUACCGAAAAGUGGUUCUGUAAUGGUCAUAUGUGUCGUGGAGUUGGAACUUGGUUCUUUUGAAGUUGGAGUGGCUAGGUUGUCUAUAAAUACAUGCUGCCCACUAAAAUUAGAUUUUAGUAUACUGUUUAAAUCAGGGGUGGAUCAUUGUGUUGUGUUCGAAUUAGAGCUAGAGAGAAGGGAAGAGUUGCGACCAUACCAUUUAUUUAUACUGCAUGGUCCCACUGUCGAUUUUCUUAAAGUACAUUAGCCUUUUCUUAAAGUACAUUACCCUCUUGUUCUUGGAAGAAUAGAUUGAUGCUCCCUACCUCAGGUUUAACAAUGCAUGUAGGUUGGUCAGUGUACUAAUUUUGACGCUUCUAGAUCGGUUUUCGGAAGUCAUGGGCUUUUGUGUAUUUGUACAAGCUUCCUUCGUCUUUACUAUUUUCUAUCUUUAGUGUUUUUUAUGUUCCUUUGUAACUAUCCAAUGUUCUGCCUUGGGUGGCCUUUGUCUUGGUUUACAGCUCCAUAUGGCUAGCUAUGUAUACGUAUGUAGGUUUUGUUUGGACUGUACUCAAUCGCAUAGAUGUUUCCAUAUUCAUGCAUUCCUCUUUUUACUUGUGAUUGUUAGAUAGUUGAAUAUCAUUGGUUUAUGUCGGCAUUCUGUUUUUGCAAUUUGAAAUAGGUUUUGGUCCAAUGAUAUUAAACUUCACAAUAGGUAGUGGCAUCUUCAGGAAAAAGUAGUGGCAGAUACGAUGGACACUUCUUUUCCGGUGCAGAAAUGAUGCUAUUGACUUGAGUCCUCAACACAUAUUUUUCAGUAACGGAGAGGAUUAUUCACCUUUGCCACUACAGGCGUUAAGACCUGGCGGAGCCAGGCCAUCAAGCACUAUUAGUGUUCAACACUUGGCCCUGAUGAGCAUGACAACCUGUGCUACCGUCCGAACAUCUUCUAUUCUUCUUUUGGCCUGGAAUGAGACCAGUAGGGGCACCUUGAGCGAGUACUCAAGGAAUGCAGUCAAGUCAUGAUGCCGGUUCCCUUUCGCUAGAUCUUACAUAUUUAAUUAUGUGAUAUUCCUAAUGGUUGUUGCUGAUGCUGAAAAACUACUCCUGAAGCACUAGAAGUGCCCUCUCUAUGGUUCAUCACUCACUGGAUCCAGAUGGGCAACCUUCCGCUUCAAAAUUAAAAGAGCAUAGUUUUUGCCUGCUAUCAUUGCUUACGAAGAGUAAUCUACCAUGUCCCUAUAUAUAUACAUAAUUGUUGCACCAUCACAAGAUUUCCAUGAUAUGCAUGGGCAUCACUUUCUUUAUUGAGGAAAGGUAGGCUGUCAUUUCUUAAGGUUGAAAUUUUCUGUUUUAUAGAAUGGCAACUAUCUGUUCCUUAUAUGGCAUGUGUAUUUGCUUUGUCCUCUACUUCUGAUAAGGCAAGACAGAUCAAACCAACAUAGUAAUCCUCUAAUCCUUCAUUAUAUUCUGAAAAAACACUAUGAUUUUCCAUGUCAGGAUAGUACUAUGUCAAACUGAUGCUUUGUAUUACAUGUUCUGGUGUAUACCCUGGCAAUAUUAGGCAUUUGCUUUGUUUGUUCACACCGCAUUAGUUUUUUUUAGUUAUAGCUGGUUUUAUUUCCGAUUCAAACCCAUCCAUUUGUCCUGUUUUCAUUUGUUUCUUAUAAAUUCUUUCUGAUAAGAUGUUGUCUUUCAGUUUUAUAUUUGUUCUCUUAAUUUCAUUUGUUUCUUAUGCAAGGGUUCUCAAAAAUUACUUUUGUAGGCAAGACAAAACUAAAAAGGUGAUCUGGGACAAGUGGAAGGAGGGAAGCCGUUGUAAGAUCGAUAAUAACUUGCCGACAAGAUCAUGUUCAUUUAGACCUUUCCUUACUAAAAGUUAUUUAUCUGUCGCAAGUGUUUCUGUUGGAACUAUCAAAUUCAAACUCCUAGAUGUCUAUGUCAGGAUGUAUAACUUUGUCCAGGUAGAGAUAUCCCCACUGAUCUUUUCGUGAAUCAUUUCACACUUAUUUCUGUAAAGUGCUGCUGAUUUUAGUAAACUCCCUUGGUUCAGAAAAUAAUAUAAUUCGAGCUCCUAGAAGAGCUU